CCCUUAGAUGUCCUGGGCCGCACGCGCGCUACAAUGACUCACUCAGAAAGUUUUUCCUGAUCCGGAAGGAUCCGGGUAAUCUUCAUAGCAUGAGUCGUGUUAGGGAUCGAUCUUUGCAAUUAUAGAUCUUGAACGAGGAAUGCCUAGUAAGUGCAGCUCAUCAGGCUGUACUGAUUACGUCCCUGCCCUUUGUACACACCGCCCGUCGCUCCUACCGAUUGAGUGGUCCGGUGAACCUUCUGGAUUAAGCAGCAAUGCUUGAGAAGUUAGGUAAACCUUAUCACUUAGAGGAAGGAGAAGUCGUAACA
rnacentral:rRNA from 1 species